rnacentral:rRNA from 1 species
GCGUAACGCGUGGGAAUCUGCCCUUUGGUACGGAAUAACUCAGGGAAACUUGAGCUAAUACCGUAUGAUGUCUUCGGACCAAAGAUUUAUCGCCAAAGGAUGAGCCCGCGUUGGAUUAGCUAGUUGGUGGGGUAAAGGCCUACCAAGGCGACGAUCCAUAGCUGGUCUGAGAGGAUGAUCAGCCACACUGGGACUGAGACACGGCCCAGACUCCUACGGGAGGCAGCAGUGGGGAAUAUUGGACAAUGGGCGAAAGCCUGAUCCAGCAAUGCCGCGUGAGUGAUGAAGGCCUUAGGGUUGUAA